AACGAACGCUGGCGGCGUGCCUAACACAUGCAAGUCGAACGAGACCGUCGGGGCUAGUUUCGCACGGCUAGUUAACGCGUGGUAACCUGCCCUUAGGGUCCGAAUAACUCCCCGAAGGGCGUCCGAAGACCGGAUAAGGUCUUCGGACCUAAGAUAUCCCGCCGUGGUAUGGCAGCGCGUCCGAUUAGCUAGUGGGUAGGGUAACGGCCCACCAAGGCGACGAACGGUAGCCGGUCUGAGAGGUUGAACGGCCACAUUGGGACUGAGACACGGCCCAGACUCCUACGGGAGGCAGCAGUGGGGAAUAUUGCACAAUGGGGGAAACCCUGAUGCAGCGACGCCGCGUGGAGGAAGAAGGUCUUCGGAUUGUAAACUCCUGUUGUUGAGGAAGAUAAUGACGGUACUCAACAAGGAAGUGACGGCUAACUACGUG
rnacentral:rRNA from 1 species